UACGGAAGGCAGCAGUGGGGAAUAUUGCACAAUGGGCGAAAGCCUGAUGCAGCUAUGCCGCGUGUAUGAAGAAGGCCUUAGGGUUGUAAAGUACUUUCAUCGGGGAGGAAAAACAAACUAAUAAUUUUAUUUCUUGACGUUACCCGAAAAAGAAGCACCGGCUAACUCCGUGCCAGCAGCCGCGGUAAUACGGAGGGUGCUAGCGUUAAUCAGAAUUACUGGGCGUAAAGAGCACGUAGGUGGUUUUUUUAAGUUCAGAUGUGAAAUCCCUGGGCUUAACCUAGGAACUGCAUUUUGAAACUGAAAUACUAGAGUAUCGUAGAGGGAGGUAGAAUUCUAGGUGUAGCGGUGAAAUGCGUAGAUAUCUGGAGGAAUACCUGUGGCGAAAGCGGCCUCCUAAACGAAUACUGACACUGAGGUGCGAAAGCGUGGGGAGCAAACAGGGAUUAGAUACC
rnacentral:rRNA from 1 species